rnacentral:lncRNA from 13 species
CCCUCUCCUCUUCUCUCCAUACAUCUCACACUACCAUUUGAAAAAAAUCAUGGGAAGUAUGGCAGAUAUGGAGACUGUUCAGUGCCGAAAUGUUUGUUUUUUAAAAAAGCUAGAAAAAGUCUGAUUUUAUGUGCUUUCAAUUCAGGCUGUAAGCCAACAAAAGGUAAACAUUUUGAAAGGGGGGUGGUAAACAUUUUGAAAGAGAGAUGGCAAACAUUUUGAAAGAGAGGUGGAAAAAUGUUUGAAAGAGAGGUGGUAAACAUUUUGAAAGGGGGUGAUAAACAUUUUGAAAGAGAGGUGGUAAACAUUUUGAAAGGGGGUGAUAAACAUUUUGAAAGAGAGGUGGUAAACAUUUUGAAAGGAGGGUGAUAAACAUUUUGAAAGGAGGGUGAUAAACAUUUUGAAUGGGGGGGUGGUAAACAUUUUGAAAGAGAGGUGGUAAACAUUUUGAAAGAGAGGUGGUAAACAUUUUGAAAGAGAGGUGGUAAACAUUUUGAAAGAGAGGUGAUAAACAUUUUGAAAGGGGGGUGGUAAACAUUUUGAAAGGGGGUGAUAAACAUUUUGAAUGGGGGUGGUAAACAUUUUGAAAGAGAGGUGGUAAACAUUUUGAAAGAGAGGUGAUAAACAUUUUGAAAGAGAGGUGAUAAACACCCCCCAACGGCUUAGACAUUGAAGUUAAACUGGUCAACACUCGUAAAGACACUGGGCCAGACGAUAUUUCAGGACAUGUCCUCAUGGCAUGCACAGAUCAGCUGGCCGGUGUCUUCACUGACAUUUUCAACCUCUCCUUGUACCAGUCUGUAAUCCCC